rnacentral:rRNA from 1 species
GACGAACGCUGGCGGCGUGCUUAACACAUGCAAGUCGAGCGGAAAGGCCCGGCUUUUGUUGGUUUCUCGAUUGGCGCACGGGGGUGUAACACAUGUGUAACCUGCCCUUAUCUUUGUGGGAACUUCUGGGGACUGCGGCUAAUACCGGGUAUGAGCUCCUGCUGCAUGUGGUUGGAUGGUAAAUUUCGGCUGUUGGGGCUGGACUCGAGGCUUAUCAGCUUGUUUGUGGGGUAGUUGCUUACCAAGGCUUUGACGGGUAGCCGGCCUGAGAGGGUGAACGGGGACCUUGGGACUGAGAUACGGACCAGAAGCGUAUGGGAGGCAGUAGUGGGGAACAUUGCACAACGGGCGGAAGCCUGAUGUAGAGACCCUGCGAGCGGGAUGCCGUCUUUUGGGUUGUAAACCGAUUUGGAAUGUGCCGAAGAGUGAUUGACGGUAAUGGGUAAAGAAGCAACGGCUAACUACGUG